CCACCUCCUUGGAAGGGGCUGAGUCCUUCUUCACCUUUGCCUUGGAAAAACCAGUUUCUCUCUCCUCUAUUGUCUGUUACCUGCUUCUCAAAGUUCAACUGAGCCCCUCCGUAGUCCCAACCCUCUCUUCCAGCCACCUGGGCUCCCUCUGCUCCGGCUCCACUUUUCUCUGCUUCCAUAUGUUCUUUUUUCUUAAAGGGAGAAGGACUCUUCGGGACUGGCCCUCCCGCCUCCCUCAGGAACAGGCCUGCGGGACUGGACGCGACACAGUCUGUAGGGCAAGGGUGGAUGAUAAGAGAAGGGCCUACCUUUUCUGGACUGUCUAAUGUCAACGCCACCUCCCAUGUGCAUGGCCUUUCGUGGUUAAAGUGCUUUUACAGACACUGUCGUCUCCGGAGUAUGUACCCUAGAGGCUCAAAACCCCCCACGAGGGUGAGACUGUGCACAUUCCAACAGAGGACUUGAAGAAUCUGGUGGACCAUACACAUUGGGAGGGUAAGAGUGGUAUGAUGAGGGUCUGAAGGGAGACAAAUGGACCCCUUUGCUUUCCGAGUUGGACUGAAAUCCAAAGAGAAAGCUGAGAACCCUCCCAUCCCGCUGCCUUCUGCCAUCAUUUAUUAGAGUCAGCCAGGCUGGUCUCUUUCUUCCCUUGACUGUGAAAUGGGCCACGGGCAGUGCGGGAGGAUUACAAAGUCUAGCUAAUUCACAAGCAGGGCACGUUUCUCUCUCACGACCGAGAAUUGUGAGUAUUUGUGAAGAAGGCUGAGUGGGAGAGAAUGGGCCAGGCUUCUUCUUGUCGGCACCCAGACCCCUGCCCCCAGCAUCCCCUGUAUUCACCCUGACCAAGGAAAGCCAGGCCCUUCCUCAGCGACAGAAGGAACACCCAAGCCCUUGUUUAAGAAGAGCCUUUUUUUAGAGGCCCUACACCCAGGGGGCUGGAUCUUGGGGGAGGAGCCACAUUUUAAGCUAGUGUCUCCCUAUAUCGGGUCGGAACAAGCCCCAGGAAGAAAGUAUUCCAAACAACAGGGUGGAUCUGCCCAAACUCACCCAGUCUGCAUGUUGGUGCUGAGAACAGCCUUUUAUGGGGCUUGCGCUGAGCCACAGGCAUGCCUGAACACCACAAGGAAGAGGCUGGAACAGCAACUAAACAGCAAUUGUUGGAUGGGCAUUGCUUUUAAGAGGACGGAAAGCCUCAGAUAGGCUCCAGCCUCCUUGUUUGGUUCAGCCCCUGAAAGCCGGGGCUACCUCCUCUCUCCCCACAUCCCCCAUCACCAUGCCCAAAGAUUUUAUGCUUGUUUCCAAGCAGAUCUGGCAAAGGAUGAAGGGUCGCUGGAAAGUAGACAUCCUAGAUAUGUGGGUAGGGGUGAGACCAAAGAGUCUCACCCUCUUCUGCCCACCCCUGCCCUCAGGAGUGGGCCUGGCUCCAACCCCGGCAUUCUGGUGUUUCCACAGCCCCCCACCCACAUCCUCCUGGUUUCACACUGGCAAACGGGCCCACAAAGUACUGUUCCUGCUCUUUAGUGCAUUCUGGAAAGGAGUGCCCUUCCCCUGCAUUCCAUCACCUUGGGAAGCACGCUCAUUAUAGAUGGAUUUUCCCUAGCAGUUUCAGAGCCCCUGCCUCCCCCAGCCAGGACCGACCACAUUGAGCUCAGUCAUGGCACAUGCAGGGGGCCCCAGACAAAGGGAGCAGACAACCAGCAGCCCAACUAGGGAUCUACAGAGAAGGUUCUCCAGGGACUUGUCUGGGAUGACUGCUUUGAGGGCAAGAGGCAGCAAGAGCCCCCCAGCCCAGCAGCCCCAGCCCUAUGGCUCAGCACUGUCUGCCUGGGCUGCAGGCAGGCACGGGAGUGUCUCGGUGAGCUGGCUCCUGCGGCCACCCAGCUGCACAGGACCCUGGGGAGGGCUGUGAGUACACACACAGGUCCUCCACGGCUCCCAAGACCCUGUGUCAAAGAUCCCUUGGGCCUUUAGCCAAGGCAAUAACCCUACACGCAGAGGCCAGGGUGGCCACGCGGCCCACCCUCUGGGAAAAAGAGCCCCAGACAUUCCAUGUGUUUCUCUUGUCCUUCAUUCCACCGGAGUCUGUCUCGUACCCAACCAGAUUUCAGUGGAGUGAAGUUCAGGAGGCAUGGAGCAGACACCGCGGCAGCAGCGGCCGCAGCAGCAGAGAGGAGCUCCGACUUAGGCAAAGAAAGGCCCAGGGAGGGAUGUGAGCGGUGCAGGAGACAUCUGGAGCACAUCUCCUCCUGCAGAAGGGGGUGGGGUGGGGGGCGCGAUGGGCAGAUUGCAAAAAACACCACAGAUGGGAGCCGCUUAUUCCUCCUUGUCUAAAAUUGAUGCUUUGGAAAUGUGUGUUUUCUGUAACUUACAAAGAUUAAAAGUUGCCUGCCUGCUGGAAA